rnacentral:lncRNA from 13 species
GAAAGGUGGUUAAGGAUACAAUAUUUCAUGAUGAUAAAAAUGUUUUGUCAACGCGUCAUAGGCUGCAGGACAUAAACACGGAGUUUUAUAAAUGUUGUUUCUUUGACACAGGUAUGGGGAAACUAAAGUAGGCUACAUUUUGGUACCGCUCAGUAUUGCAUGAUUGUCACAGUGCGGGACCCCAAAACCAGGACAGGGCGGAAAUUCAACUCUUGGUUGGCAAAGCGCGCGACAAUCAUGCGCGCGUGCCUCGAGAAUAAGAUUCAGGCGAGAGAGAGCUCCAACGGUCGGUCUCGCUCUAGCGCUGGUGCUGGAGUCAUGCCAACGCUGUAGCCCUAACCACAAACCCUAACCGGCUGUGCUUGCUUGUCGGACAGUGUGUGACUUGCAUACGGGUUGCUGCGACGGCGGAGGAGGAGAGUGCUUUUAACGGAUACCGUUUAAUUUCGGAGUCUUUUCAGUCUAGGUCCGAGACAGGGCAGAGGAAAACGCAUUUUGCGCUAUGAAAAGGACUUUGAGUUGAGUGGAAUUCCGAACGAACCGUCGACAAGCUAGGACACAACGACGGAGAAACAAAACAGCAGUUGGAUAAAGACAAGAGGGAAGAAAGAAAAGGACGUGAUUGAGAGAAAGGAUCACCUUAUGGAUGACUCACCCCCGUUGAGAAGUGUGUCGUCUCAGAAGAGCAGCGAGUCGCAGACAAUUCCCCAACGGGGAAAGAAACCAGAUUCACAGGGAAUACAUGACAUAGUAUGGAGCAGAAAUACGCCAAUCUACAGCUUCAUACUACUUGUCAAACAUAGAGAACAGAUACUGGUUAGUGGGGGUGUAGGGGGGUCCGUGGGUGGCUUUUGGCAACAAAAAUAUUGUUAAUGUCUUACUCAUUGGUAGGAAGAAGCUUGGUCCAAAUUGGAUGUUGGGUUCUACACUGAACAAAAAUAUUUGGUUUCAUGAGCUGAAAUAAAAGAUCCCAGAAAAUCUCCAUACACACACAAAAUACUCUAAAAUGUUGUGUACAAAUUUGUUUACAUCCCUGUUAGUGAAUAUGUCUCAUUUUCCCAGAUAAUCCAUCCACCUGACAGGUGUGGCAUAUCAAGAUGCUGAUUAAAUAGAAUGUUCAAAGGUGCACCUUGUGCUGGGGACAAUAAAAUGGCAUUCUAAAAUGUGCAAUUUUGUCAAACACCACAAUGCCACAGAUGUCUCAAGUUUUGAAGGGAUUGUGCAAUUGGCAUGCUGACUGCAGGAAUGUCCACCAGAGAUGUUGCCAGAAAAUGUAAUGUUAAUUUCUCGGCCAUAAGCCAAUAUCGUUUUAGAGAAUUUGGCAUUACAUCCAACCGGCCUCACAACCGUAGACCACAUGUAACCACACCAGCCCAGGACCUCCACAUCCGGCUACUUCACCUGCGGGAUUGUCUGAGAAAAGCC